GUAGUACUUUCCCGUCCGAAAAUACUUGUCAUCAAAAUAGAUAGAAAAGAAUGUAUCUAGAACUAAAUUAUACUUAGAUACGUCCCCUUUUAUUUAUUUUGAUGACAAAUAUUUCCGGACGGAGGGAGUACUAG
rfam:Triticum urartu cultivar G1812 contig368694, whole genome shotgun sequence.